UUUCCGUAGGUGAACCUGCGGAAGGAUCAUUACAGAGUUCAUGCCCUAACGGGUAGAUCUCCCACCCUUGAAUAUUUAUACCUUAGUUGCUUUGGCAGGCCGUGGAAACGCCAUGGGCUCCGGCUUAUGCGUGCCUGCCAGAGGAAACAAACUCUGUUUUUAGUGAUGUCUGAGUACUAUAUGAUAGUUAAAACUUUCAGCAACGGAUCUCUUGGUUCUGACAUCGAUGAAGAAC
rnacentral:misc_RNA from 1 species